GAUUCCAGGGAUCGAAUUCCACAUUACAAGGUAAAUGGCACUGGAAUUGGUGAGCAGCCACAACAGACAUUGACCACCAGCUCCAUACAUUCCGAAGAUCAUGUACAAGCAGAGACGCAGACCACUCCAUUCGAUAAUAUUGCCGAUAUGGCCCAUGCAAUGGACUCUAAUCAGGAAAGUCACCAUCGCAAAAUUAAGAUUUUACUCACCGGUAAAUCUAUUUCUCGUAGUCCGUAGUGGAUGCUGGGAACUCCGAAAGGACCAUGGGGAAUAGCGGCUCCGCAGGAGACUGGGCACAACUAAAGAAAGCUUUUAGGUCACCUGGUGUGCACUGGCUCCUCCCACUAUGACCCUCCUCCAAG